CAGUAGCUCAGUAGUAGAGUGGUCGGUUAUUAAUUGAUUGGUUGUAGGCUCAAAACCUAUCUG
rfam:Capsicum annuum cultivar Zunla-1 chromosome 3, whole genome shotgun sequence